rnacentral:rRNA from 1 species
UACGUAGGGUGCGAGCGUUGUCCGGAAUUAUUGGGCGUAAAGAGCUCGUAGGCGGCUUGUCGCGUCGGAUGUGAAAGCCCGGGGCUUAACUCCGGGUCUGCAUUCGAUACGGGCAGGCUAGAGUGUGGUAGGGGAGAUCGGAAUUCCUGGUGUAGCGGUGAAAUGCGCAGAUAUCAGGAGGAACACCGGUGGCGAAGGCGGUUCUCUGGGCAUGAUCUGACGCUGAGGAGCGAAAGUGUGGGGAGCGAACAGG